UACCUUGGGACGGGUAUAAACCCGGGAAACUGGGUAUAAUACCCGAUAGUCCUCGAAUGCUGGAAUGCAUCGAGGUCGAAAGCUCCGGUGCCCAAGGAUGGGUCUGCGGCCUAUCAGGUAGUAGUGGGUGUAGCGUACCUACUAGCCUACGACGGGUACGGGUUGUGAGAGCAAGAGCCCGGAGAUGGAUUCUGAGACACGAAUCCAGGCCCUACGGGGUGCAGCAGGCGCGAAAACUUUACAAUGCUGGAAACAGCGAUAAGGGAACCUCGAGUGCCAGGUUACAAAUCUGGCUGUCGUGAUGCCUAAAAAGCAUUGCAUAGCAAGGGCCGGGCAAGACCGGUGCCAGCCGCCGCGGUAACACCGGCGGCUCGAGUGGUAACCGUUAUUAUUGGGUCUAAAGGGUCUGUAGCCGGCCGGAUAAGUCUCUUGGGAAAUCUGGCAGCUUAACUGUCAGGCUUUCAGGAGAUACUGUCUGGCUCGAGGCCGGGAGAGGUGAGAGGUACUUCAGGGGUAGGGGUGAAAUCUUGUAAUCCUUGAAGGACCACCAGUGGCGAAGGCGUCUCACCAGAACGGACCUGACGGCAAGGGACGAAAGCUAGGGGCACGAACCGGAUUAGAUACCCGGGUAGUCCUAGCCGUAAACGAUACUCGCUAGGUGUCGGCCACGGUGCGACCGUGGUCGGUGCCGUAGGGAAGCCGUGAAGCGAGCCACCUGGGAAGUACGGCCGCAAGGCUGAAACUUAAAGGAAUUGGCGGGGGAGCACAA
rnacentral:rRNA from 1 species